rnacentral:ncRNA from 1 species
CCGGCUUACCAACCCGAUGCAAACUACGAAUACCGAAGAAUGUUAUCACGGGGAGACACACGGCGGGUGCUAACGUCCGUCGUGAAGAGGGAAACAACCCAGACCGCCAGCUAAGGUCCCAAAGUCAUGGUUAAGUGGGAAACGAUGUGGGAAGGCACAGACAGCCAGGAUGUUGGCUUAGAAGCAGCCAUCAUUUAAAAGAAAGCGUAAAUAGCUCACUGGUCGAGUCGGCCUGCGCGGAAGAUGUAACGGGGGCUAAACCAUGGCACCGAAGCUGCGGCAGCGACGCUUAUGCGUUGUUGGGUAGGGGAGCGUUCUGUAAGCCGUUGAAGGUGUGCUGUGAGGCAUGCUGGAGGUAUCAGAAGUGCGAAUGCUGACAUAAGUAACGAUAAAGCGGGUGAAAAGCCCGCUCGCCGGAAGACCAAGGGUUCCUGUCCAACGUUAAUCGGGGCAGGGUGAGUCGACCCCUAAGGCGAGGCCGAAAGGCGUAGUCGAUGGGAAACAGGUUAAUAUUCCUGUACUUGGUGUUACUGCGAAGGGGGGGACGGAGAAGGCUAUGUCAGCCGGGCGACGGUUGUCCCGGUUUAAGCAUGUAGGCGGAGGUUCCAGGUAAAUCCGGUACCUUGUUAACGCUGAGGUGUGAUGACGAGGCACUACGGUGCUGAAGUGAUAAAUGCCCUGCUUCCAGGAAAAGCCUCUAAGCAUCAGGUAACACGAAAUCGUACCCCAAACCGACACAGGUGGUCAGGUAGAGAAUACCAAGGCGCUUGAGAGAACUCGGGUGAAGGAACUAGGCAAAAUGGUGCCGUAACUUCGGGAGAAGGCACGCUGAUGUGUAGGUGAAGCCCCUGCGGGUGGAGCUGAAAUCAGUCGAA